ACUCCUACGGGAGGCAGCAGUGGGAAUCUUGGACAAUGGGGAAACCCGUGAUCCAGCCAUGCCGCGUGAGCGAUGAAGGCCUUAGGGUUGUAAAGCUCUUUCAGGUGGGAAGAUAAUGACGGUACCACCAGAAGAAGCACCGGCUAACUCCGUUCCAGCAGCCGCGGUAAUACGGAGGGUGCGAGCGUUAAUCGGAAUUACUGGGCGUAAAGCGCGUGUAGGUGGCUUGUUAAGCCAGAUGUGAAAG
rnacentral:rRNA from 1 species